GGCGCGUAGCUCAGUUGGUAGAGCAAGUGACUUUUAAUCACUGGGUCACAGGUUCUCCCUAAGUCA
rnacentral:tRNA from 1 species